UAAUAAACUAAACUGCUACUUUCCAGAUUCUUAAAAGGUAGAUUGAGCCUCACACUGGAAAAUUAGUAUGAAGUUAUGCAACCCUGGGUUGCAUGACUUUAGGAACUUCUGGUAAUUGAUAUUUAUCAAUUGGUGUCAGCAGUCCAGAAACAUACAAAGCAGCAAAACGAAAUUUGAGAUACAGAAAUUUCCACAGGAAUAAAAGUCGGCUGAAUACCUAGAAUGCAUUUUAAACAAUUUGAUACGAGGCUGGUGUCUGGCUACAGAUAAAGAAGUUUGAUGAAUAACUGAGUGAAAAAAUGUGAACAUCCCUAUGCAUCUAGUGUUAUCACAUGUAUCCAAUGACAAGUGUUUAUUCUCAAGAAGCAGGAGAUGCCUCAAGAUUCACUGACCAUAUUUAUAAUUAUACAUUUAUAAAUGUAUAAUUAUAAAAAGUAGCAUAGUGUUAAUUAUACAAUGCUGAAAUUAUUAUUUUAUUGGAGUAGAUAUUCUCCAAUCUGUAAUUAUAAUAAUCACUAUUAAAAAUUCCAAUUACCAUGUUAAUGUGUUCAAUUGCAUGUGUGUAUAUCUUGGCAAAAAUUCAGUUCUCUAGGUACAAUGUUGUGGCACUGUUACUAAAAAUUUAAUACAGCAUUUCACAGAACAGAAUUUGAUCGAAAUAAUAGACUGGCACAACCUCUGGAAACAUUGCAACACAAUCUCCAUCAUCCUCAAACUUCUGUGUGCAUAAACCCACCUAUGGCAAUUUCCUCAGCCCCAAAAGACAUUCUGAAGUAGUAAAGUAUAGCUGGAAAAAUGUGCACUUUUCACAAUCCCACCGUGGCAUGGAUGUGUAUACAAAGGGGUCUUGGAGCCAAUUCCCCAUGGAUACUGAGGACUCAGUGUAUUAAUAUAUUCUAAAUGGCUUGAGUAUUCUGUAUUUUUGUUAAUGUUUGUGCAUGUGAUCUUUAAAUGUGUGUGGGUUUUCUGUAUUCUCAUCAGAUAUCCCUUCUUGUAAUUGCCAAAAUCUU
rnacentral:lncRNA from 1 species